CAAGCUCAGUCAUGACAGGUUCUUUUUUUUUUCCUUUUUAUUAAAUUCUGCAUACAGUUAUUAAGCCUCAAGAAGCUUUUCUUAUUGUUCACCAUUCCUGUAUUGGUUGUGGAACUAAAGGGUUUCUGAUUUUUCUUUAUAAACUGACUAGUAAACAUUUGAUUGCUGUCCAUAUUUCCAGGAAAAGAAAAUAACCAAGCAUAGAUUUAAUGAAAGAGUAAAAUUGCCAGUGUUUCUGCCAUUGGGGAGUAAUUUAAUGUUCUUGGGGAAUUUGUGACUAAUUAAUUUCAUUUGAAUAAUCAGCACUUUAUAAUCAUGUUAAAUAGCUAUGGCUUAAGCAUUUUGAUUUGCUUCUUAAUUAAAUAAUUUCACCAGAACCUAUAUAAGAUUUUUCAGCUUUAAAUCAUAUUGACAACCUGUUCUUGAUGUAUUUAUUAUCCAAAUAAUACACUUUUAGAAAGUGUAUGAGCAUCACAAUUUUUUAAAUAAAUAUUUCCAAUCGAAUACUGUUUCUCAUUUGUCAUAACAGAAACCCAAAUUACGUAGCACAACCCACCCCAAAAUAUUAGCUCCUGAAGCUCUGUAUUUUAGUCCUGCAGGGUGUAAGUGAUUUAUAAAAGCUUUCAGGGAUGUCUGGGUAACUCAGUUCGCUGAGAGUCCGACUCUUGAUUUCAGCUCAGGUCAUUAUCUCAUAGUUUGUGGGAUCGAACCCCAUGUUGGGCUCCACGCUGACAGUGUGGAACCUACUUGGGAUUCUCUCUCUCCCUCUGCCCCUCCCCUGUUCUCUGUCUCUGUCUCUCUCUCUCUCAAAAUAAAUAAGCUUUAAAAAAAAGAAAAAAGCUUUCAGGAAAGACUCUGCAUAUUUAGUUACAAGACAGCAGAAUGAUCACCCACUGCAGGUUACCACGGCAGGGGGGGGAUAUCUUGCUGCCCCUGAGACACAACCCUGCAAAGCACUGUUCUUCUGCAUGUGAAAUACUCCAGACAUUCAGAAUGUACAAAGAAUUUCAUGAUGAAAACGGCUUGCUAAUUAUCUUAGUUUAAUAAACAUUAACAUCUUACCAUGUUUGCUUUUGAUGUUUUAUUUUAAAAAUAAAAUAUUUCAGGGGCGCCUGGGUGGCUCAGUAGGUGAAGUGUCUGACUUCAGCUCAGGUCAUGAUCUUGCGGUCCGUGAGUUUGAGCCCCGCGUCGGGUUCUGUGCUGACAGCUCGGAACCUGGGGCCUGCUUCAGAUUCUAUGUGUGUCUCUCUCUUUGCCCCACCUUCGCUUGCACCCUGUCUCUGUCUCUCUCUCUCUCUCAAAAAUAAACAUUAAAAAAAUAAUAAUAAAAUAUUUCAGCUAAAAGCGAAGACUUCUUUUUACCUCUCUAUGACCUGAUGACCUUCCCUCUCAAUAAGAAACCUGUGUGUUAACUAUUGUUGCAUAACAAAUUACCACAAAACCUAGUGACUUAAGACAGUAGACAUUUAUUACCUCACACAGUUCCUGAGGGUCAGGUGUCCAGGAUAGACUUAGCUGGUAGAGAGACCAGCUGUCUCACAAGGUUGCUGUCAAGCUGUUGUCUGAAACUUCUCAGGGUCCUACUGGGGCUAAGAAUCCUCCUCCACACUCACUCACGUGUUGGCAGACCUUACCUCCUCGCUGGCUGGAGACUUGAGUCCUCACCACGUGGGCCUUUCCCUAGGACCGCUCACAAUAUGGCAGCUUGCGUUUCCCCACCAGCAACAAGUCAGAGAGAAAUCGAAAAUGGGAUGCUAAAUAUGGAAGCCACAGUUGUUUACAUCCUAACUUGGAGGUGACUCACCAUCAUUUCUGCCAUGUACUGUUGAUGACAGAGACCAACCCUGAUCCAGUAUGGGACAGGACUCCACAACGCUCUGAAUACCAGAAGGGGGAAUCAUUGGGGGCCAUCUUGAUGGCUGGCUACUACAACUCCAAAAAUGUUUUUAUAUUCUUAUCACAAAUAUUUAUAGCAUAAGAAAUAUGUAACACUGCUUUUUUGCAUGCUUUUGAUCGUAUAAACAUCUUACUGUGUAUAUCAUCCUACACACACACUUACGUUUUUGAGCUGUUCCUAUGUUGAUAUUAUCUUACUCAUCUGUUUUCUCUGUUGUAUGGCAUUCCACUGUGUGGAAUACCAUGAUUUAGAGAUCAAGUAUUUAAUGAAAAGAUUGUUUUCAUUUUUCACUAUUGAGAAUGAACUGAACGUUCUGGAGCAUACCAACUUAUGUAUAUGUGCAAAACUUUCUAAGGUAUAUAUAUUUGGAAGUGAAAAGACUGAGUCACGAUGUGUAUGUAUCUUCAGCUCUCUUACAGAGCUGCAUUGCUCUCCGAAGUGGUUGUUUUCUACCAGCUACGAUGACGGGUCCCUUUAUUCCACACGCUGACCAACAGAGAUCUAUCAGACCUGAGUUUUUGUCAGUCUGUUGGUGUGAAUGUUGCUUUUGAUAUUUAUUUUUUUAUUUGCAUUCAGUAAUUAUUUGUGGAGUCUAUUCUUUAUGUUUAUUGAUCAUUUGAAUUUCCUCUUCACAUUCUUUGUUCUGUUUUCUAUUGUGUUAUUUGUCUUAUUCUUACCGAUCAGAUGGAAGUUUUAUGUGUUCUGAAUACCAGUCAUUCCUGGUUUAUAUGUAUUACAAUAAUUUUCUUCAGCUUCCGACUUGAUUAUCAUUUUGUUUUUAGUUUCUUUUGAUGAAUCAAAUUUCUCAGUUUUUUUAAAGGGUUUUUUUUUUAUGUUUGAUUUUAUUUUUUGAGAGCUGAAGAGAGACAGAGUGCAAGUUGGGGGAGGGGCAGAGAGAGAGGGAGACAGACUCCAAAGCAGGCUCCGGGCUCUGAGCUGUCAGCACAGAGCCUGAUGCUGGGCUAGAACCUAUGAAUGUGAGAUCAUGACCUGAGCCGGAGUCGGACGCCUAAGCGUCCGACUGAGCCACCCAGGUACCCCUCAAAUCUCUAGUUUUAAUGGGAGUCAAAUUUAUCAUUUUUCUGUAUUGUUUGUACCUUUGUAUGUCUUGGUAAAAAACCAAAACCAAAACAAACAAACAACAACAACAGAACACCAUCCCCCCUCAAAAGUCCAUCCUUUUCUCACUUGUUUGCAAUGAAAUCAAAGUCAUUUAUCAAGUAUCUAUAUGUGUGUAUCUGUGUACUUACAUAUAUUUGAAGGCAUGAGUUAGUUCUGAGACCUCCAAUUCCAGCCCAACACCCUAGAGUUUAUUCUGGCCUGCCCCCAACAGGGACAAACAUGGCUCUCAUUUUCUACAGUAUAUUUACUUUUUUUUGCCCUUUCCUAGUAUAAAUAGUUUCAGUUAUUCACCCACUUCCGUACAGUGCUGUCUUUAGCCUUUUACUAUAUAGUCAAGAUACUGUUUACCAGUUACUAUAUUUUCUUCUUCUCCCUUUGCUUCAGUGUGGGUAUGUUACUCAUUUGGAAAAAAAAAAAACAAAAACAAAAAACAAACAAACAAAACAACAAAAGAGAAACCAGGCUCAUUGUUUGUAUUCCAUUUUGAAUUGCCUGUGCAUCCCAGUUGGUUUCAAUUAUUUCUUUGCUUUAAUGAGUGUGUGGUAUAUUGACAUGCGUUGAAAAGAAUACGUGAGAAAGUAUCCUUGGAGAGAAGUGUCACUCUCCCUUUGUUCCUCCUGUCCCAUUCCUUUUCCUCAUUCUGUCUACUUCAUUCCCAUCAGUGCCCUGGGAGGGGUGAGAUUAGUUUCCGGUCCAUUGUUUUUGUUACAAAAGAACAGGUGCAGGUUUGUUUCCUUUUGUUCUUUCUUACCUGGAAGAGAGCACACUACCAGUAUAGAUACUCUUUUGCUCCUUGUUGGUUUUUUUUUCUUCAUUUAGCAAUGUAUUCUAGAGCUCAUUCCAAAUAAAUUUAUAUAAACCUUCAUUCCUUUUAUAAAAAAAUAAUUGUAUAGAACUCCCUUGUGUGAAUGUAUCAUAAUUUAUGAAAUGACUUUCCUAUAUAUGGGCAUUUAGCUUAUUUUUUAAUAUCUUUCAACUACAAACAAUGCCAUAAUGAACGCAGUGUAUUGUUAGAAAUGCAUCUUCAAAGUAAAAUCCCAGAGGUACAAUUUCUAGGUCAAAAAGUAAGAACAUGUACAGUUUUGUUAGGUUUUACCAAGUCCUCCUAUAAAAUAUUUGCACCAUGGGGCACCUGGGUAGCUCAGUUGGUUAAGCAUCCAACUUCAGCUCAGGUCAUGAGCUCAUGGUUUGUGGGUUCGAGUCCCACGUCAGGCUCAGUGCUGACAGCUCAGAGCCUGGAGUCUGCUUAAGAUUCUGUGUCUCCCUCUCUCUGUCCCUUCCCUGCUUGUGCUUGCUCUCUCUCUCUCAAAACGAAAUAAACAUCAAAAAAAUUUUAAAUAAAUGAAAAAAUAAAAUAUUUGCACCAGUUUGCAUUCCCACCAGCCCCAUAGGAGAGUACUUCCCAAAGCUUUGCCAACCACAUAUGCCAUGAUAGUUUUCAUUUGCCAACCCAAUAGAUGAGAAAUAACAAUAUUGUGUUAGUUUGCACUUCUCUGAUUAUGAGAAACUUGGAACAAUUUGCAUAUGUUUAAGGGCUGUUUUUUACUCUUCAUAAAUCAUUGACUUCCUGUUUUCCUUUUGGGUUUUUGGCCUUUGGUUUUGCAUUUUUGAAGCGUUCUUUGCAUACUGGGGAUAUUAACCCUUUAUCUGUGACACAUGCACAAAUGUUUUCUUCUGGUUUGUUACUGUUUUUUGACUAUGUCUAUGGUAGUUUUUACCCCUCAAACUUAUAAAAAAAUUCAUGCAAACUUAUUAUUUUAUUUCCUCUGUAAAUUUAAUCAUGGUUAGAAAGACCCUCCCACACUACUGUUAUAGAGAAACCCACUCUUUUUUUUUUUCUUUCAGAACUUGUAUGCUUGAUCUUUCUUUUAAAUUUAGACCCCUGAUACAUUUGAAGUUUAUUCUUGGGUAUGACAUGAGGUAUAGAUCUAAUUGUAUCUUUUUCAAAAUGGCUACCCAGCCUCCUUUAUUAAAGGUCUAUCAUUGUCCCAAUGACUUGAGAUGUCAUCUUUAUCAUCCACUAAAUUUCUAUACAUCCUUAGGUCUAUUUCUGGGGUUUCUAUUCUGUUCCACUGGUCUAUGAUCUAUGGUCUAGUCCUAUGGUAGUGCCACACUGUUUAAUUAUAGAAGCUUUGUAGUAUGUUUUAAUGUCUGAUAUGUCUAGUCCCCCGGAGCAGAUUUCCUUUUUUUAGUAUUUUUCUGGGUAUCCUUGCAUGUUUGUUUUGCCAAAUAAUCUUUGUACCAAUGUGUCUAACUCCAUACAACAAAGGCUUGUUGGUAUUUUUAAUGGGAUUGCAUCAAUUAACCAAGUGAGAGCUGACAUCCUUCCGAUGCUGAAACACCCUUUGAAUCACAUGAGAUUCUCUCCAUGUGUCUAUUUUUAUGUCUUCCUAGAGUAAUUUUAAGUUUUCCUCAUAUAAGUUUUACAUAUGAUUUGAUAAAUUUAUUCCUGUGUAUUUGAUCUUCUUUGUUGCCAAUGUAGAUUGGGGUUUCUCUUUCAUAUUUUCUCUAGAUAGUGUUUGUGUAUAGGAAAGCUAUAUUGACUUGUCUGUUAAUUUUGUAUCUUGCUACCUUACUGAAUUCUUAUACUGUUUGAGUCCGUUUUAUCAUUGACCAUCGAUGUUCUAGAGCUUUCCAGUUAUACUGUUGUGUCGGUAAAGACAGAGACGGUUUUACUUCUUUACCAAAUAUUUUGCCUCUGAUUAUUUUAUCGUCUCUAAUUGCAUUGGCUAAUACCAUUAGGACAGUGUUGAAUAGUCGUGGAGGUACACAUUUUUGCCUUGUUCCUGAUUUGUAUGGAAAUUCUUGUUGUGUUUCCACAUUUAAGUAAAAUAAUAGCUUUAGGACUAAUAUAUAUUUUUUUUAUCAUCUUAAGGUGUUUUAACACAUUAAGAAAGUGUCCUUCAAUUCCUGUUUUCUUGAGUGCUGCUACUUGGAAUGGGUAUUGAAUUUUUGUCCAAGGCUUUUUGAACAUCUAUGGAGAUAACCAUAUUUUUUUUCCUGAGACCUAUCAAUAUGGAUUUACUAAUAUAGAAACUACAUUAAAUUACUAGAAUAGAUCCCAGUUCGUCAUGGUAUGUUAUUUUCUUUAUGUGGUAUUAGAUUCUGUUUGCUGAUAUUUUAGCUAAUCUUUUUGCAUCAAUAUUCAUGAGUGACAAUGGUCUGCAGCUUUCUUUUUCUUCUACUUUUUUGAGAGAGUCUUCAUCAGGCUUAGGUAUCAAAAUUGGGGUAUACUCAAUUUAUUAAAAGAAUAAGGAAGUUUUCCUUUAUUUUUAUAUUAGUAUUUUAUACUAGUUUUCUAUUUACUGCUGUAAUCAUCACAAACUUAGUGGCUUAAAACGGUACAAAUUUAGUAUCUAACAGGUCUUGAGGUCAAAAGUCCAAAGUGAGUCUCAAUGACCUAAAACUGAGAUAUUGGCAGGCUGCAUUCAUUUCUGGAGGCUCUCAGGGAAGAUCUGUUUUGUUGCCUUUGCCUGCUUCUCGAGGCCACUCAUGUUCCUUGGUUCAUGGCUUCCUUCCAUUUCCAAAGCCAAUAGGGAUCUAGUUUUUCUUUUAUCCCAUCUCCCUGUUGCUGACUGUCCUGUCUCCCUCUUCCACAUUUAAGGACUCUUGUAAUUACAUUGGCCCUUCCCAUAAUCCAGGAUAAUCUCCCUACUUCAAGGCCAUCUGAUUAGUAGAUUUUAUUUCUACUUACAACCUUAAUUCCUCUUUGCCAUGUAUAUGGCAUAGUCAUAGGUACUGGGGAUUUAGAUACUGACAUCUUUUGUGGGGAGAGAGGCAGUAUUCUGCCUGCCAUAAUCUUCACGCUCUAGAGCAAUUUACAGAGCACUAGAAUAUUUGAUUAUUGCGGGUUUGGUAGACGCUCAUGGGCCUGAUGCUUUUUUUGUGUGGUAUCUUUAAUAAUUGCUCUCUCUGUAGGGGCACCUGGGUGGCUCAAGGCCGUUAAGCAUCCGACUCUUGAUUUUGGCUCAGGUCAUGAUCUCACAGUUCGUGAGUUAAAGCCUCAUGUCAGGUUCUGCACCUACAGGGUGGAGCCUGCUUGAGAUUCUCUGUCUCCCUCUCUCUGUCCCUCCUCCACUCACUUGCUCUGUCUCAAAAAUAAAUAAACAUUUGAAAAAAUAAUAAUUGUGUCUGUAUCCUCUGUGGAAAUUUGGUGCAUUUAAAUAUUUUCCCUCUCUUAGGCUCAAUUUUGGUAAUCUAUGUUUCUUUAGAAAAUUAUCGAUUUAAUGUAAGAUUUCAAAUUUAUUUGUAUAGAGGUGGGCAAACAAAGCCUCUUAAGACGUUUAAUUCUUUUUUCCAUUCACUUUUUGUCAUUCCUUAUUUUAUUUGUGCUUUCCCUCUUUUUUAUUGUUAAGUUAGCUAGUGGUUUGCUAUUUUGUUAACUUUUUUCAAUUAAGUCUACUGGUUUCCUAUUCUGUAUUUCAUUAAUUUCUGCUUUUGUCUUUAUCAUUUUCUUCUUAGUGCUUUCUUUCAGUCUACUUUGUUGUUGUUUGCUAGGUUUGUUUUUUUUUUUCAGCUAAGUAUUUGAGUCAUUCAUUUACAUCCUUUUAUUUAUUACUUAUGAAAGCAUCUCCUGCUAUGAGUUUUUCUCCAAAAACUGCUUUAAAUGUAUCCCAUGUGUUAGUGUUUUUGUAUUUUGUUUCAGUGGCUUAAAAAAAAAUCCUUUGACUUCACUUUAUGUCUUCACUGUUACCCAAGAGUUGUCACGUAGGAGGAGGCUUUUUAAAUUUUUUCAGGUGGAUGACCGUUUUGUUUUUGGUUUGGUUAAGGAUUUCUAUUUUCCUUUCAUUAGUUAAUAAUUUCUACUUUUACUGCAUUGUGAUCAGUUUUGUUCAUCAUAUUUUUAAUUCAUGGAACCUACUGACAUUUUCUUUGUGACCAGUUUUUAUGAGUGGUUCAAAAGCCCUUGAUAAAAAAGGUGUGUUCACUUAUAUUAUCAAAAUAUAAAGUUCAAUAUAUACCCAUAAGACCUACCUAGCUGAUUAUGUUUUGUUUUGUUUGUCCAUUUAAUCUGUCUUGAAUUAAGAGUGGUAAAUCUCGGACAUAAAUUAUAUUGGAGCAUAGAUAUUCAUAAGUAUUAGAUCUUCAUUGGAGAUUUGGCUUUCAGCAAUAAAAGGUGCCCUUCUUUGUUGUGUUUAACACUUUUAGGCUUGAAUCAGGGUUUCCUACUGCUGCUUUCUUAAUGUUUCCAUUUUCCUGAAAUACCUUUACCCAUCCAUUUGUAUUUUGUUUUUUAAAUCUUUUUUUAUAUAUUGAAUGGAGAUAGCAUAUAACUGGGCCUUCCAUUGUGAGCAUAAUUGAGGAUCUUUUUCCUUUUAAUUGGUACAUUUAGUCCAUGACACUUAUUGAUACGGUUGAUAUGUUAGAUCUCAUUUCUAUCAUGUUUUAUAAUUGCAUGUAUUAUGUUAUUUAGUCCGUGUUUCUUUUUCUAAAGAUGUGUAUUAUUUGCCCUUGAAUUUAAUUUAUGGCCUCCACAGUAAGUUUAGUUGCCAUCUAUAAUCAUAAAAACUUAUUAUAAUAUUACUGACUAUAUUUCAUAUGCCACACAUUGCAUCCCCAUGACUUACUUAUUUUAUGAGUGGAAGUUUGCACCUCUCAAUCCCCUUCACCUAUUUUGUGCACAUCCAACCCCCUCCACCCUGUGGUAACCCCCCAUUUGUUUCCUGUAUCUCUGAGUCUGUUUCUGCUUUGUUUUGUGUUACAGAUAUCACAUAUAAGUGAAAUCAUACAAUAUUUGUCUUUUUCUGUCUGACUCAUUUCCCUUAGCCUAACACCCUCAAAGUCUAUUCAUGUUGCCGGUUCUUUCAUUGUAAGAACAGAAUUUAGGGACAUUUUAUUUUUGUUCUAGCUGUUACCUUUGUACUUACACCUUCCUUGUUUUCUUAGUUACCCUUUGACCAUCUGGUUUGCCAAUGUAAAAUUAGAUCCUUAACUCCCACCUAUUUUCUACCUGACAACCAAUGAGCUUCUUUUACUUUCUUUAUUCUCUCUUCUGCCCCUUACCAGUUUUUAGUUGCAUUAUUUCUAUUUGUUAUUUGUAUUUCUAUUUGUAUAGCAUUUGUAUAUCCGUCUUCCACCCUCAUUGUCUCCUUUGUUUUUGACUUAGAUCUACAAUCGACUUUAUAAAUGCUCACAUCAGUCCUUCUGCUAAAAUUUUCCAAUUACCUCUUAGUCCAAUGAAGCUCAACUCUAGGCUGUUCCUAAAGAAAGAUUCAUGUCCUGUGUGUUUCCAUGUUAUCCUAUAGCUUUGAUUUCAAAUUUGUAGAAAAUCCUUGUUUCAUAUAUAUAUAUUUUGAUUAAAAAUUUUUUUUAAUAUUUAUAUUUAUUUUUGAGACAGAGAGAUACAGAACAUGAGCAGGGGAGGGGCGGAGAGAGAGGGAGACACAGAAUCCAUAGCAGGCUCCAGGCUCCGAGCUGUCAGCCCAGAGCCCGACGGACACAGGGCUCAAACUCACAAACCGUGAGAUCAUGACCUGAGCCGAAGUUGGACACUUAACCGACUGAGCCACCCAGGCGCCCCUCAUAUAUUUUUUUAAUUAAGAUGUUUCUGUUUAUUUAUUUUUAAGUGCUAUUCUAUUGUUGUCUUGCUUUGAAUAUUUAUUUAUUUAUACUUCUGCCCUUGUAAUUGGGUCAUCUUUUUACCUAGAGGUCUUGAUUUUUUUUUUUUUAAAUCUCUAAAUUGUAACAGGUUUAAUAGGAUACAGCUUAGAACUGCUAAAUCUGGGUUCGUUUUCCCAGGACCCAGUGGCCCCUUUCAAUAUGAAGAUUCAAUUCUCUGGAAAAUUUUCUUACACUACAAUGUUAAAGUAUUAGACCUGUUCCAUUGUUCUGUUUUCCCUCUUCAAGGAGUCUCAUACUGUGAGUCUUAAUUCUUCAUGAUCUGUUUUCCAUUUCAGUAUUUUCUCUAUGACCCACUUUACUUCUUUUCCUUUCUCAUUUUUCUUUUCUUAGUUUUUCUACUUCUUGAAAUAUUUCUUGUUACAUUUUCAUUUUACUUUUUCUUAUCUUGAGCACCGUGUAAUUUAAUCUUCAUUUCUGAAAUAAUUAUCUUUUCUUCCGUUUUGAAAUUCACUGUCUUUUUAUUAUUUCCUGUUCUUCGUCCAUUUGUGUUCUUAGGGCAUGUAUUUCUCGUUCAAAAUCUUUUCUUUCAUGUUUCCAAAUACUAUUUUUUGGAUAUUUAAUACAGCUUUGAGUGUUCUUUUAUAGGUUUCUUCUGUUUCGUGGCUGCUUUCUUGGAGGCCAUUUUUUUUUAAUAUAAUUUAUUGUCAAGUUGGCUAACAUACAGUGUGUAAAGUGCACUCUUGGUUUUUGGGGUAGAUUCCCGUGGUUCAUCGCUUACAUACAACACCCAGUGCUCAUCCCAACAAGUGCCCUCCUCAAUGCCCAUCAUCCAUUCUCCUCCCCUCUCCUCCACCCCCCACCCUCAGUUUGUUCUCUGUAUUUGAGAGUCUUUUAUGGUUUGCCUCCCUCCCUCUCUCUUUGUAGCUUUUCCCCCCCUUCCCUUCCUACAUGGUCUUCCGUUAAAUUUCUCAAGAUCCACAUAUGAGUGAAACCAUAUGGUAUCUGUCUUCCUCUGACUGACUUAUUUCACUCAGCAUAAUACCUUCUAGUUCCAUCUAGUGAAGGUGUAGUAAGGAUCGUUAUUAUGAUCAUUUGUCAGAUCUUUGUGUUUGCUUAUUCAUUGCUUUCUGUUCAUUUUUGUCAUAUUGGGCUGCUUUUCAAGAUGACCGGUCUAGUGCCUUCUUCCGUCAGUGUAGCAAAGUCUGGAUUCUUUCAUGGUUUGGGGGGAGUGAGUGGAGCCAGGGAUUUGUGUCCUCUGGUUUCUGAAUACUCUUCAUCUUGCAGGGCCCUGAAUUUCCCCUUAAAUUUCUCUUCCCCUUCAACACCCAGUUUCCGUAGCGCCCUUCUCUCCUUUGUGCCCUUCUGCUUCCCCAGCCUUGCUUCACUGCAAAGACUGCCGCUUCAGAUCGCACAUACCUUCAGGUGUCUUCUCUUUAGGCUACACUUGGCUCUGUAUUCUUAAGUUAUGCUGAGAAUGCGGUUUUUAUGUAUUCUGUUCUUCUUGUUAUGCCUUGUCCAUUUUGAAGAAACAUUCGGAGAUGUGGACAUAGGCAGAUUCUGUUGUCUUUCUUCUGUCUCCCCUUUAUAUAUCUUUAUUGUAUUGGUAGAAUAUACCCCCGUGCUUUUCCUAAAGAUAUUUAUUUGUACUUUUUACCUCUUCUCUCUUUGACGUGAGUGCAUUUUUUGGCCUUUAAUCAUUUAUGCGUUAACCCAAUAAAUAUUUAUUCGGUAGUACUCCGUACUGCUCAAAGUGGCGAGUGGAACAGUGACAGAAUAUCAAAAUCCCAACCUAACUGGGAGCACGUUCUAGUAGAAGGAGAUAAACGAACCAAUAAGCAUGUUGUGGUAAGCACCUUGGAGAAGAAAAAAAUCAGGAAAAAGAGCAUAGGGAGUCCUGGGGUAGGUGAGGCUGUGUUGUGAAUGUAUAUAGGUAGUUAAGAAAGGGCUUACCAACACGGCGACAGUGGUUAGGGAACAAGGUGUGGCUAUCUGGGGAAAUGGUUUUCCAGGCAGAAGGAUCAAUGGGGACAAAAUGCCCAGCAUGGGAAAAUACAGCAGGGAGGCCAGCAUAGCUGGAGUAUGGUAGCUGAUGGGGAGAGGGCUACAUAAUGAGAUCAGAGAGGUAAGAGAAGGGCCACGAAGGGCCAUUGAAAAGACUUUGCUUUCAUUCUGAGUAAGAACAGAAGUAUUUGGAGGACAGAGGAUAGAGAGGAGACAUACUAUCACUUUUAUUUCUGAUAUUUCUUCUAGUCUAAUUUGUUGAGAACAGACUGGAAGAAGGGGUAACAAUAGAUACAGGAACGCCAAUUGGGAGGCUGUUGGCAUGAUCCAAGUGAAAUACGUUGGCAGCCUAGACCAGGAUACUUAGAAGUGUAGGCGGUGGUCACAUGACUGAUCUACUUUUAAGGUAUAGCAAACAAGAUUUGCCGCUGGAUUAUAUGUGAGAUUACGGUUCAUGACACUAUUUGCAAAGAACCGUGGCCACCUUCACUGUAAGCGUAGGCUCUUUGUAAACACCAGAUGUAAUCACUAGUAGGGGGACACCUAACAUUUCCUUCCCUGAAGUGGCAGCGACUUCGGGAAUCUGGGUAUAUGGUGCGGAAUAAAAGUUACGUGGUAUCAUUGGUUUGAGGCCAUGGGGCAAUCUAAAGCAAGCAUUGCUAACGGUGUUAUUUGGUGAUAGACACACACAGAUAAAUGGCCAGGGUCUUAUCAUCAGUGGGAUAAAGAAGAAAAAUGGUAAAGUGGCUGUGACAUCUUUCUUCCGCUCUUACACCGUGAAAGUAAUAAUGGAAAGCUGCACCCUUAAAAUCUUGUACUUCUCAGAGCGCCAAAGCAAAAGAAGAGUUCAAGUGUAUGUCAGAGAAGUUUUUCCAUCUUUGCCUGACGAUGUCUGCACAAAUGGGCUCGAGGAUUACUGUUUCUCAGAGGUUUUAAACACCUUCCAAAUGUUAGAGCAACAGCUGUGUUAUUGCAUAUUAGCAACGUCUCUGUAUCCUGAAGUUCUUCGACUUAACUAGGGUAAAUCCACUCAGUCUUGUAUUUAUUUCAACAUUUAAUGGUACUUACUGUGUAUCUGGCACUGUGCUAAGUGAUAAGGAUACAGCCGUAUCUUUACAGGCAGCUGCGGUCACUGUUCUCAUGCAGUUAAUGACCUAGUAGGAAGACAGACGUGUAACAGAUCGCAUAACUAUUGAAUUUCCCUGGUGAGAAAUGCUACAAAGGAGAAACAGAGCUUUCUCUGAGAACCUCAACCUGGCUGAAGGGUAGGGGACCAGUCUUGCCAAAGGUGAGAGGCCGUAUGCUGAGAGCAGUGACACAUUACUCCCCUUUAUGCAAUGAUCCCAGUCUGUUCUUGGGGAGAUUGCUGCUUCCCCGCAGUAUAGUAAGGCGGAUUAGAGGAUCAGGGGGCUGGAAUGGAUACUGGAUCGGUCACAGACACCACUCCAGUGUCCAGUUUCUUUCACCCAUUUUUUUUAUAAUGGCUGUUACAUUGUUGGUUCAGCUCAAUGUCCGCUGUGAUCAGCCUUCUCAUCUAACGUGUGUCAGAUAAUCAGAUGUGCUUUGGAGCUUCGCCAGCUACUAUCCACCUCCGUCUCUGCUACUACCCACCAGUUCUCCACUCGUGUCCAAGCUCUGUAUCCAGCUAGUAGAGAUCAUUUUGGGUUUCACUGCUUUCAGGAGCGUUGUCACUGCUUCUGAAUAUAACGCAGAAACUUGAAGGAGGAUGCCUCGCUUGGAGUCAUCCCCCUCACUGAUUCAACAGAAAAAAGAAUAAUAAAGUUAAAGGUUUCUGCUUUGUAUUUUCCCUUUCCAGCCCAUUCUCACCGCAUUAAAAUCUCCAGAUGGAUUGUGUUCAGUAAAAGCUACGCGUAUCUUCCUGGCCAUCCCCUUUGCUAUAAUCCGGUGCAAAGGCUCAUAUUUUCAAUGCGUGGGAAAAGGAGGGGCAGAGACGGUGGAACCAAAAUAAACAGAUGGUUACCUUGACAAUCUGUAAAAGGCUCUUUCGUGAGCAUUUUUCAUGGUUUUCUUUUGAAAUAGUGAGACAGCGAUACGAUUUUUAUCUCGUCGACCUCCUGCAAAUGGCCCCAUGGCUUUCAAACUCCACAAAAUACCACAAUGCCUCUGCCAGGAAGCCACCUUUGCUUAGCCUGACUCCUUCGAGGUCCCAUCCCACGUCCCUCAGGAAAUGUCUCUGGGACCUGUUCUCUGGGGCAGGUGCUGUGGGUAUGAACGCGAGUGAGGCACAGCAAGGGGGCCGUGAUAUUUGGGGGGGGAGACAGAGAAGGACAAUUAUCAUCACGUGAAGCAGAAUGUCAUUAGCAAGAGCAAGGGUUCAGAAUGACAUGAUGGCACAGAGAGGGAGAAAACUCCCUCUCAAUGGUAGAAUCAAGCAGAAGGAGAAAAGUGGUGGCACUGACGGGGACGAGGGAGCCAAGUUUGAGCAGAAGACUUGGGUCGGACGGGGGUGAUUGUGAGUGGGAGAUGGGUCAGGAAGUCCAACUUUCAGGAAGAUGAACAGAAAUAAUAAAAUUGGACAUUGUAACAUUGACUUAGGCACAUGGUUUCUACUUUGUCAGUUUAAAUUUACUUUUUCAAAAAAAUUUUUUAAAUGUUUAUUUAUUUUUGAGAGAGAGCAUGAGCAGGGGUAAGGGAGAGAGAGGGGGAAACACAGAAUCUCAGGCAUGUUCCAGGCUCUGAGCCAUCCGCACAGAGCCUGAUGCGAGGCUCAAACUCGUGAGAUCAUGACCUGGGCUGAUGUCGGUCGCUUAACCAACUGAGCCACCCAAGAGCCCUUCUACUGUCAGUUUAAGGUUAUUUGCACAUUGGUUUGUAAAUGUAUGUUCAAAACAAAACAAAACAAAACAAAAAACCAAAACUACAGUAGAGGCUCUUGUCCCAAGUUCUGAAAAUAUUUAUUUCAUAAAUAUGUUUGAAUAUCCUUUUGUAUUUUUACAUGCUCAGAUCCCUUAUCUAGAUUAUAACAUUGCACAAACUUGCAAUGGUGUACAUAAUAAAGGCCCAACAAGUACAAAGCAAUCAGUACAACUCAGUGGCUGAAGACAUAAGCUUUGGAGUCAGAUCUGAGUUGAAGACCCCACUCUAUCAUUUCCUAACUUCAUGUUCACCUGACAGGUUAGGUCGGGUGAUCCUUGAUAUUUCUUAUCUGCAAAAUGCAGGCAGUAUUAGGGCUUAUCUUACAUUGUUACUCAGUGUUACUCAAGGUUACACAAGCCAUUGCACACAAAGUCCUAAGCACAGUGCCUGGCAUCUGUUAAUGAUCAGGGAAGAUUCAUUAUUAGUUAUGGCUCCAAAACGUAGAGUGUUUGUAAGAUUUUCUCUGGAGACACAUAUCAAUAGGACUUCUAACGUAUCUAAAUGUUCAUUCCUAUUGCAGUGCAAGAAAAUAUGCAGGGAAUUAAAACCAUCUCAAACUUUUUAAAACAUUGAGAACCAUUAAAAUGCCCCAGAUUUCAUCAGCUUGUGAAGUCACAGCCUCCUUUUAUGCCAAAUCACAGUAGUCUAAACCCCCGUUAUAUAUGCCUUCAAUAAGUUCAGUCUUGUUUUUCAGAUAUUCAGACACAUUGCAGACUCCUUAGAAAAUUUUCAGGCGAAGAGAACCUCCCUACCUAGCCCUUGGCUUGCCCUUGUGUUAUAGAGUCCAGUUUAUCUCCCUCAAAGUGAGUUUCACUGAGCAUUUUUCCACUUCUAAAUGCCCCAAAGGAAGGAGCUGUCCUUUUUCUCGCCCUAGCCCAGGGCUCCAUCCCGAUAUCUUCAGUGACCUCUUCAAAGGACAUUUUGUCUAUAGGAGGGACCUCUUCCUUCAAAGGAAAUCUCCCUCCCACCAGGUGGCCCUUAAAAGACAACAAACAGGUCCCAGAUUAGGCCCCUAAUUCUCAUUCCCAACUAGAAGGAACCAGGGCUCCUGGAGGGGAUGCCUGGUCCCAGAUCUGAAGCAGGAAAUAUCCUAGAUGAGCCCGGGGAUACUGUGUUGUGUCAGAAAGGAAGGAAGAUAGACUUACGUCCAAAGGACCCAGGGGCCAACAAAAAGGUGCUCCCAUUAGCCAGAGAGGAAAUAAAUGUAGCAUCUAAAAAGAAUAUUGGGGGCGCCUGAGUGGCUUAGUCAGUUGAGCCUCCAACUCUUGAUUUUGGCUCAGGUCAUGGUCUUGCGGUUUGUAGGUUCGAGUCCUGCAUUGGGCUUUCUGUUGUCAGCACCGAGCCCGCUUUGGGUCCUCUGCCCGCCUCUCUCUGCCUCUCUCUCUCUCUCUCUCUCUCUCUCUCUCUCUCUC